AUGGCGAUAAGCAUCGACGUCUCUACGCUGCUCGACGGGAACGACUCCGGCGAGAACAAGCCGCCCAACCCAUCCGAUAUGUCCAGCAGCUUCGUGUUCCUCCCCAGCCGGGCGGUGAAGAACAUGAUGCGGCGAUGGAACUACAGGGAAGGCUCAGGUCUCGGCGCGCAGGGGCAAGGGAUCGUCGUGCCUAUACAAGCCGCCGUGCGGGUGCGGCGGCGUCCAAAGGCCGGCCUCGGCUACCGUGAGAAACCAUACGACAAUGGUCUCCACGUGCCGCCGGAGCCGCCCGUGGAGGAGGAGUGCCGUGAGUGGGAGGGUAUUGCACGGGCUAUGCGGCUCGAAACGGAGUGCUGCGAGACGAUCCUCGCACUCCUGCAUGACAUGAGGCUUCAAGGGGACGACAGCGUGGAGACGACGGAUGCGCUCAAGGCCAUGGCCGAGUCCAAGAACGGGCUCCAUGGGAAGCGCGUGCUGGGGACGUGGAAAGCCAGGCUGCCUUCUUCCACCGCACGCUACAUAAUCGAGCAGGUGGUCACGCCGAGGAUGGCCGUCGACGUGCGAGAGUGGAAGUCGUCAUGGGAUCCGGACUGUCACGACUGGCUACGCCCGUUCAUUCCCCUCAUCGGCCACUUACCCGAGAGCCUCUACGGUACCCGUGGAGAGCAAGAUCAGGAACGCAAGCGUCACAUCCUGCCAAUGCUAACACGGUUAGUACGGGAGAUGAGGAUCACGCCGCCCAAGCAAACCGACCCUUCAUUCCGGACCGUGAUGUUGUGGGCGCCUCUCUUGCGCGCUCAAGACGUGGUGUCGAUCCUAGAAGCAGAGCAGUUCUUUGACAAAUGGGAAGGCGCGCUACAACACUGGCUGCAAGCCGCGAAGCCCUCGUUGGGGGAGGCCACCGCAUGGUGCACCGGCUGGAAGACGCUCUUCACACCUGAGCUGCUCGCCGACGAAAGUGUGCUCGCGCAUCUUGAAGCUGGCCUUGAUAUGGUCGAUCCUGCAAUGCAAGACCUCGACAGUCUUUUUAGUAAUUUGUAG
rnacentral:rRNA from 1 species